UACGAAGGGGGCUAGCGUUGUUCGGAAUUACUGGGCGUAAAGGGCGUGUGGGCGGUCCGCUAAGUCAGGUGUGAAAGGCCUGGGCUCAACCCAGGAAAUGCGCCUGAGACUGACGGACUUGAGUCCGGGAGAGGAUGGUGGAACUCCCAGUGUAGAGGUGAAAUUCGUAGAUAUUGGGAAGAACACCCGUGGCGAAGGCGGCCAUCUGGACCGGUACUGACGCUAAGGCGCGACAGCGUGGGGAGCAAACAGG
rnacentral:rRNA from 1 species